UCAUCAUGAGAUGUUUCUAUGAAUUGGUAAAAGUUUGGGCCUUCUCUUAGGGGAAAAUAAAAUUUAGUUUUUGAUCCAUAAUGAUCAUAUAAUUACUAUUCGGGCCCAACUGAGGGACCCGAUUCGAUGGGGCUAAGAUUCUGGUUCAGUGUUAGUGGUAGGGCUAAAUCCCUCCGGUAUCCACCGAUUCGUAAAAUUGGAACCCUAAUAACAAAAAUUGUCGAAUUGCGUAAUUGGGGAUUAACUGAUGACACGACGUCGUAUUAAGUCAGCGAAACCCGGUGGAUGAACUCGUCGGACACACGUCGCCGGUGAGUUUUUCUUAAGCUGAAAGAUGCAAUCCCUUGUGAAUUUGAAUUUGCCAUUCGAAAGUUGGUUGUUUUAUUUUUUAUUUUUUUUUUGAAAUCCCCUUUGAACAUGAUUUACAGCUUCCUAGGGCUUAUACGUUGAGUAAUUUGCAGAAAUAAUCCUACAAAAACAUGUGAUCCUUUUAUUUUUUUAAUUUUAGUCGAAUAUGCUGAAAUGCGUGAAUUUUGGUUUUCGAAUCAAAUGAUUGCCCAUCAUAACACGCUGAUUCUUCACAUUGUUAUCGUCUAGAAUUCACUUAUACUGCUGGAAUUUAUCUUCUAAAACUCGAAAAGUUACCUUAGAGUUAAGCUGGUUAAAGAAUUUCAAAUGUGUAGUUAUGAUUGCCCAUCAUUGAGAGAGAGAGACAGAGCAUAUAGUAGUAUUGUGUUUUGCUUUGUGAGGGUAUUUUGGGGAAUCUAGAAUUCAUAAAUACUGCCGGAAUUAUAUCUCAAUUUUCGAAAUAGUUACGGAUUGCUAAACGAAGAUUUGAGUUUUGUCUUGAGUUUUGUACAUCAUAAACAGAUAGAAUGUUAUACAAACAAAAGGGAUACAUACACAUUAACAGCAGGGGACUUGAACCAAUACAAAUAAAACAAAACAAAACACAACAAAAUACAGAUAUUUGUCACAGUACGUUCUUCUUCACACCAAACCAAAUCAACAGAAUAUUUAAUCUCUUCAUGCAAUCAACACUUUGCAGAAAUUCUUAAAAGAAAAGCAGGCCGACGAAAUACUCAUUUGUGUGUAUCCGGAGACUCUGUUAUUCCAACUCUUCUUCCGCCUUCGUGUCUGCUGUUUUCCGAGAACUUUAAGCUAGCCUUGUGGAAACCUUUUUCCUUCUCGGCUUCGCUCCAUUCAGAAAGGUAAUAAUCUUCCUCUGUUUUCCCCUUUGAUGGUUUGGUGAACAUUCCACCCCAUUGCGGGAAGUGUAUCAACGUAAUUACGGAUGUGCAUGCUAUUAUCAUCACCCCCAUUAGCAUUAUACCUUUUUCUGUAGUGUAUCUCGAUCCUCGGAAGAAUAUUACUUGUGUAAUAACUGCUCCCACGUUUCCACCUGCUCCCGUCAUCCCGGAUAUAAUUCCCAAUGACCUGG
rnacentral:lncRNA from 1 species